rnacentral:rRNA from 1 species
UACAGGGGGGCAAGCGUUGUUCGGAAUUACUGGGCGUAAAGGGUCUGUAGGUGGCCAACUAAGUCAGACGUGAAAUCCCUCAGCUUAACUGGGGAACUGCGUCUGAUACUGGAUGGCUCGAGUGUGGGAGAGGAAUGCGGAAUUCCAGGUGUAGCGGUGAAAUGCGUAGAUAUCUGGAGGAACACCGGUGGCGAAGGCGGCAUUCUGGACCAUAACUGACACUGAGAGACGAAAGCCAGGGGAGCAAACGGG